GUCCUCCUCCUCCUCCUCCUCUGCCGCCGCCGCCUUCUCCUUCCCCUCCUUCUCACGCCGCCCGGCGCUCCACAGGUCACGAGGCUGGAGGGAGAGAACAGACUGGACUUUGGAAACGACUCCAAAAGUGACAGUGAGGCUUCAAAACAACCCUUUAAACUUCACGUCCCAGAAGUCCCGGCUGCUCGUUAACUGAACACCUGUUUGAGGCUGAAACAGGACGAGUGUGUUUUGUCUGGACAGUGGAGAGGUGCAAAACAUUUUACACCUUUCCCCCUGCUGUGAAACAAUCACCUGCCACCACAGGAAACCAGCGUGACUGCAGAACACACUUUCCAGCCGGCUUUCAGGUAAACUCUGGAUCGGAGGCCUUACUGCUCCCGGGGUCGUCCGUGUCUCCUCCGUCCUCUUCGUCCGAGUCAGUGGAGUGCUCCGCUUGUUUUAUCGUGUCCGUCACAGGUAACGCCGCUCUGCCGUUGGUCCCGUU